UCUGGGAGCAGUGGUGGGCACCUAUAGUCCCAGCUACUCAAAAGGCUGAGACAGGAGGAUUGCUUGGGUCCAGCAGUUCUGGGCUGUAGUGCACUAUGCUGAUCAAGUAUCUGCACUAAGUUUGGAAUCAAUAUGAUGACAUUUCAGCAGGGGACCGUCAGGUUGCCUGGAGAGUGUGAAAUGGCCCAGGCUGGAAACAGAGCAGGUCAAAACUCCUCUGCUGAUCAGUAGUGGAUGUCCCUGUGAAUAACCACUGCCCUGCAGCCUGGGCAACACAGCAAGACCCCAUCUCUU
rfam:Chlorocebus sabaeus isolate 1994-021 chromosome 22, whole genome shotgun sequence.